UACAGAGGGGGCAAGCGUUGUUCGGAAUUACUGGGCGUAAAGGGCGCGUAGGCGGCCUUCUAAGUCGAACGUGAAAUCCCCGGGCUCAACCCGGGAACUGCGUCCGAUACUGGAAGGCUUGAAUCCGGGAGAGGGAUGCGGAAUUCCAGGUGUAGCGGUGAAAUGCGUAGAUAUGUGGCGGAACACCGAUGGCGAAGGCGACUCUUUGGUCUGUAACUGACGCUGAGGCGCGAAAGCGUGGGGAGCAAACAGG
rnacentral:rRNA from 1 species